rnacentral:ncRNA from 2 species
UUUAAACUUCAGGGCGGGGUGAAAUUCCCCCCCACCGGUGGUUAUAGCCCACGAACUGGCAAGGUGCCAGCCGAUUCGGUGUAAUUCCGAAGCCGACAGUAUAGUCUGGAUGGAAGAAGUAUGAG